rnacentral:rRNA from 1 species
GACGAACGCUGGCGGCGUGCUUAACACAUGCAAGUCGAGCGGUAAGGCCCUUUCGGGGGUACACGAGCGGCGAACGGGUGAGUAACACGUGGGUGACCUGCCCUUAGCUCUGGGAUAAGCCUGGGAAACUGGGUCUAAUACCGGAUAUGACUCCAUGACGCAUGUUGUGGGGUGGAAAGCCUUGUGCGGCUAGGGAUGGGCCCGCGGCCUAUCAGCUUGUUGGUGGGGUGAUGGCCACCAAGGCGACGAUGGGUAGCCGGCCUGAGAGGGCGACCGGCCACACUGGGACUGAGACACGGCCCAGACUCCUACGGGAGGCAGCAGUGGGGAAUCUUGCGCAAUGGGCGAAAGCCUGACGCAGCGACGCCGCGUGAGGGAUGACGGCCU